AGGAUUCCCCUAGUAACUGCGAGUGAAGCGGGAAAAGCUCAAAUUUAAAAUCUGGUGGUCUUUGGCCAUCCGAGUUGUAAUCUAGAGAAGUGUUAUCCGCGCUGGACCGUGUACAAGUCCCCUGGAAUGGGGCGUCAUAGAGGGUGAGAAUCCCGUCUUUGACACGGACUACCAGGGCUUUGUGAUGCACUCUCAAAGAGUCGAGUUGUUUGGGAAUGCAGCUCAAAAUGGGUGGUAAAUUCCAUCUAAAGCUAAAUAUUGGCGAGAGACCGAUAGCGAACAAGUACCGUGAGGGAAAGAUGAAAAGAACUUUGGAAAGAGAGUUAAACAGUACGUGAAAUUGUUGAAAGGGAAACGCUUGAAGUCAGUCGCGUCAGCCAGGGAUCAACCUUACCUUUGUGAGGCGUACUUCCUGGUUGAUGGGUCAGCAUCAGUUUUGUCUGCUGGAUAAAGGUCAGAGAAAUGUGGCACCUUCGGGUGUGUUAUAGUCUCUGAUCAGAUACAGUGGCUGGGACUGAGGAACUCAGCACGCCGCAAGGCCGGGGUUCGCCCACGUUCGUGCUUAGGAUGCUGGCAAAAUGGCUUUAAUCGACCCGUC
rnacentral:rRNA from 1 species